GCUGGCGUGCAUAACUGCAGUCGACGAAACUUUCUUACACCGAAUGCUUGCAUUCAUCGUAAGAAGUUGAGUGGCGGACGGGUGAGUAACACGUGGGUAACCUGCCUAAAAGAAGGGGAUAACACUUGGAAACAGGUGCUAAUACCGUAUAUCUCUAAGGAUCGCAUGAUCCUUAGAUGAAAGAUGGUUCUGCUAUCGCUUUUAGAUGGACCCGCGGCGUAUUAACUAGUUGGUGGGGUAACGGCCUACCAAGGUGAUGAUACGUAGCCGAACUGAGAGGUUGAUCGGCCACAUUGGGACUGAGACACGGCCCAAACUCCUACGGGAGGCAGCAGUAGGGAAUCUUCCACAAUGGACGCAAGUCUGAUGGAGCAACGCCGCGUGAGUGAAGAAGGUCUUCGGAUCGUAAAACUCUGUUGUUAGAGAAGAACACGAGUGAGAGUAACUGUUCAUUCGAUGACGGUAUCUAACCAGCAAGUCACGGCUAACUACGUGCCAGCAGCCGCGGUAAUACGUAGGUGGCAAGCGUUGUCCGGAUUUAUUGGGCGUAAAGGGAACGCAGGCGGUCUUUUAAGUCUGAUGUGAAAGCCUUCGGCUUAACCGGAGUAGUGCAUUGGAAACUGGAAGACUUGAGUGCAGAAGAGGAGAGUGGAACUCCAUGUGUAGCGGUGAAAUGCGUAGAUAUAUGGAAGAACACCAGUGGCGAAAGCGGCUCUCUGGUCUGUAACUGACGCUGAGGUUCGAAAGCGUGGGUAGCAAACAGGAUUAGAUACCCUGGUAGUCCACGCCGUAAACGAUGAAUGCUAGGUGUUGGAGGGUUUCCGCCCUUCAGUGCCGCAGCUAACGCAAUAAGCAUUCCGCCUGGGGAGUACGACCGCAAGGUUGAAACUCAAAGGAAUUGACGGGGGCCCGCACAAGCGGGGGAGCAUGGGGUUUAAUUCGAAGCAACGCGAAGAACCUUACCAGGCCUUGACAUCCUUUG
rnacentral:rRNA from 1 species